CUCUCUCUCUCUGAUUGCCCUCCAGCUUCUCUCUACUUCUACUAUUGCUUCUCCGGUUGAUCUCUUGAGAUUAUUCACCAUUCUUGGGUGAAUAUUCUAGUGCUGAGGUGUGUAGAAGGCAACUGCUUCGGUUGUUUGUAGUGUGAGAACUAGGGUUUUUGUUCUGAGGUGGUUUCAGUGACUUAAUCCGGUGUGAAGGGGCUGUGUGGUGAAGGUAUUGACGGUGCGAGGGUAGACUCCAGUCAAUUCAUCGGUGCUCCCUUGGAUUUGGUUCUAGUUGAAUAGAUCUGGGCUAUGUGGCGGGCUCUGAGCCAUAUUCUGAUACUCACUAAGUGGAUGAACCGGCUAGGAUUUCGGUUGAGAGAUCUGUAAUAGUUAGGGUUCUAAUUCUUGUAUCACUUGUACACUUAUACUCUUGUAAUAGUGUAUAUCAGUCGCGUGGGUGAGAGUUUGGCUGAGCUCUCUUGUACAAGAACAAAGAGGUCUUGGUAAUUAGUGAGUCUGGACUUAUCUGAUCCCUAUAAAUGCUACUUGGAUUCAACAGGUUUUAUUUA